rnacentral:rRNA from 1 species
AGUGAACGCUGGCGGUAGGCCUAACACAUGCAAGUCGAACGGCAGCACAGUAAGAGCUUGCUCUUACGGGUGGCGAGUGGCGGACGGGUGAGGAAUACAUCGGAAUCUACUUUUUCGUGGGGGAUAACGUAGGGAAACUUACGCUAAUACCGCAUACGACCUACGGGUGAAAGCAGGGGAUCUUCGGACCUUGCGCGAUUGAAUGAGCCGAUGUCGGAUUAGCUAGUUGGCGGGGUAAAGGCCCACCAAGGCGACGAUCCGUAGCUGGUCUGAGAGGAUGAUCAGCCGCACUGGAACUGAGACACGGUCCAGACUCCUACGGGAGGCAGCAGUGGGGAAUAUUGGACAAUGGGCGCAAGCCUGAUCCAGCCAUACCGCGUGGGUGAAGAGGGCCUUCGGGUUGUAAAGCCCUUUUGUUGGGAAAGAAAAGCAGCAGGUUAAUACCCCGCUGUUCUGACGGUACCCAAAGAAUAAGCACCGGCUAACUUCGUG